rnacentral:rRNA from 1 species
GACGAACGCUGGCGGCGUGCCUAAUACAUGCAAGUCGAGCGGACGGAUGGGAGCUUGCUCCCAGACCGUCAGCGGCGGACGGGUGAGUAACACGUGGGCAACCUGCCUGUAAGACUGGGAUAACUCCGGGAAACCGGGGCUAAUACCGGAUAACUCUUUCCCUCACAUGAGGGAAAGCUGAAAGAUGGCAUCUCGCUAUCACUUACAGAUGGGCCCGCGGCGCAUUAGCUAGUUGGUGAGGUAACGGCUCACCAAGGCGACGAUGCGUAGCCGACCUGAGAGGGUGAUCGGCCACACUGGGACUGAGACACGGCCCAGACUCCUACGGGAGGCAGCAGUAGGGAAUCUUCCGCAAUGGACGAAAGUCUGACGGAGCAACGCCGCGUGAGUGAUGAAGGUUUUCGGAUCGUAAAACUCUGUUGUCAGGGAAGAACAAGUACCGGAGUAACUGCCGGUACCUUGACGGUACCUAACCAGAAAGCCACGGCUAACUACGUG